rnacentral:rRNA from 1 species
AGUGAACGCUGGCGGUAUGCCUAACACAUGCAAGUCGAACGGCAGCACAGUAAGAGCUUGCUCUUACGGGUGGCGAGUGGCGGACGGGUGAGGAAUACAUCGGAAUCUACUUUUUCGUGGGGGAUAACGUAGGGAAACUUACGCUAAUACCGCAUACGACCUACGGGUGAAAGCAGGGGAUCUUCGGACCUUUCGCGAUUGAAUGAGCCGAUGUCGGAUUAGCUAGUUGGCGGGGUAAAGGCCCACCAAGGCGACGAUCCGUAGCUGGUCUGAGAGGAUGAUCAGCCACACUGGAACUGAGACACGGUCCAGACUCCUACGGGAGGCAGCAGUGGGGAAUAUUGGACAAUGGGCGAAAGCCUGAUCCAGCCAUACCGCGUGGGUGAAGAAGGCCUUCGGGUUGUAAAGCCCUUUUGUUGGGAAAGAAAAGCAGCAGGUUAAUACCCCGCUGUUCUGACGGUACCCAAAGAAUAAGCACCGGCUAACUUCGUG